CUGAGUUCAGGCCAGGCGCUCAAUCAGCAGCAGCAUGACUGAGCAUUUCCUAGAGCCAACCAUGCCGAGGUAACAUGUCAUGGAUUUUCACAGGGUGUUCACUAACUGUGCAAGGAUUUCAAAGUCCAGUAUAUUGAGUUUCACGUGCUCUUCACCAGACCGAGAAGGGUGGAGUUCCUGGCAGCUGGGAAAAGGCAGGGAAGCAUAGAAGGCAAGUGUCUGAACGUUUCCACCAAAGAUCAGGCCUUGGAAGGUUAAAUGCAUGCCCUCCCCGUGGAAACAGAACGGGACAGAUGACCUGGCAGUGCCAGGCUUCAGAAGCUGGCUGUCACCUGUCCAGAGAGGAAAAUCCCCACUCGAAUCUGCCCAGGUGGGGCGACUGUUGCAGAGAUCUUUAAUGCUAAGAUGUUUUCAGUGUCAGCUGUGGCACAAGUGAGUUCGGGGACCCCACCCCUCAUGUAGAGGCAGCUUGCUAGAAUUUUGCAAGAUCGGAAACCCAGAGAAUGAAAAACUGCUCGGAUCAGCACCUCCCACUCAGCCAUUCUGGUCUUGAAGAGUUACCUGGGCUAGGCUUAAACUUACUAUCCUCCAGCCUUGGCCUCCCAGAGUUCUGGAAUUACAGGAGGCAAAUCAGCACAACUCUUCAAGGUAUCCCAGGUGAACCGUGUUCCUAUCCCUCAGCAUUGAGUUCAGAAAGUUCUUGAACCAGCUUACGCCAGCCUGAAGUCUGAACGUUGAGCCUCUUGACAUGAGUAUACAGCAUACUGUGUCCUGGAUUACUCCACGAUGGAUAAGGCAAAUAGAAGCAUGGAUACUAUCCAGACCAUUCUCAGAAGAGCUCAGAAGAUGAUGUUUCUACUAUUUUUCUUUAAGAAGAAACUUUUAGGAAGUUUUGCUCAGGGACCUAGAAUUUCUCUGAAAGAUCACAAAUAUUCCCUGCCUAAGUUUGACAUUACAGCACAUACUGACAUCAAUAACUAAUAGGUAUUACACACCAUCUUACACUGCAAGUUGCCAGUAUGAUUUUUUUUAAAGAGUAAAAGUAUUUAUUGACAGAAAGAAAGCUUCUGUCUGAGAGCUAGAAGGGGUCCUGAGUGGGUUGCCUGCAAGUAUGCUUUAUGAAUUUAAAUUAAUAUUGGGAAAUAUGACUGAUAUGGUAAUGAAAAGAUUUUGGGAGAACCAGUUGUGGGGCUCUUGAGAAUUACAAUUGACAAAAUAUAGGAAGAUGGUUGGAACAUCCAUUAUGAAAUAACUUUCCAGCUCAGCAUUUUAGAAAUCUAAUGUUUUUCAGCAUUCUCAAAGAAAAGUUAACUCUAGAAAUUAAGCUGGUAUCUGGAUAAUAAGAAUCCAGAAUUACAACAAAAAUGUAAUAUGAAUUGAAUGGAGGAGAGAAGAGCAAGCAGAUGCUGGUCGACCUCGGCAGUGAAGGCAAAUUAUAUUUUUUUCUUAUGGUGCUGCAUUUGCAGGCCAGACAGAUCCUCUACCGUGAGUUAUACCCCUAUGACAGAAGACACAUUGGUGGGGCUGGGGAUUUAGCUCAGCGGCAUAAGCACCUGCCUUGUAAGCAGGCAGUUGUGAGUUUGAUCCCUGGUAUCGAAAAAGACCAAAAAAAAGACACACUGGCUCAAUCAUUCUUUCAAUUAUUGUUUAUCUAACUAAUUAUGUUUGUGGGAGAAUGGAAUUUUCUAUUCCACUUAUAAUCUUUCUCCUAUCACAAUGAAGAGAGGGCCUUGGAAAGACAGUUUUAAUGUUAUAGUACAUAAUAAUAAUCAGUACUAACAAGAAGGGCUUGCUUCUCUUGUUCACAUCUUGCUUCAAAGAAAGUCAAAGUCUAAUACCCAACUAAGAUUUCCUUGAUAGUUCAGGAGGAAUGGUCCUCACGACCCUGUGAGCUACUGCCAGGAUGGAUCCAGGAUUCUGAGGGAAGAGGGAAGAAGGGAGAAGAAAGCAGGAGAGAAGGCAGAGAGAUCACAGACCAUCAAAAGGGCCCAGAGAGGAGAGCUGUGUAUGACAGAAUGAAGGGAAAAGAAAGGGAAGUCUGGGCCAAUCUUCUGGAAGCUGUGUGUGUGUGUGUGUGUGUGUGCGUGUGUGUGUGUGUGUGUGUGUGAUUGGCUAGAAAUUAUAUUUUUUUUCUGCUAAUAGACUGUUCUACCGAUCCUCAGACCCAAGGAGAUUAUGGGGGGGGGACUACUUGAGGACUUGUUUACUCAUAGGCCCUGGAGGCUCUUUGUGAGAAGCCUUGAAAACUUUAUAAGGGGGUGAUCUCCAGCAGCUCCUUCUGAGGACCGAUUAUUGAAAGACUUACAAGUGAUCAAAUAGACAUAGCUAGUGGAAACUUGGAAACUGAUAAGAGCAAGAAGCAAAACAUUCAUGUGUUUUUCCAUGCUGGGCACCUAUGAGCAACACUAGACUCUCAAGAAAUCUCCAUGAACAGAUGUUUUAGAGCUAGGUAUCAAAACAUUGCAGUAAACCUGUUUGCUGUAAUAGGCAGCACAAUGGCUUCCCAGAGACAUCCAUGAAUGGAUUAGUCAACUUCAGGGUACUAAAAUAAAAUGCCUGAGAUAAUUGACUUACAAGAGAAAAGGUUUACCAUAGCUCACAGAUUUGGAGGUUCCAAUCCGACAUUGAGGGGAUCCAUUGUUUUGAGCCUCUGGUGAGUGCUAGGUAGACAUGGUACAUAGCACACAAUACAGCAAACUUCUCAAUCCAUGUCCAGGAAGUGAAAGAAAGGAAAGAGCUGGGUCCCACAGUCCCACCUGAGGCCACAACUCUGAUGACUGAAGAAAACACAUGAGAUUGUACCUUUAAGAGGCUCCUCUGCUUCCAAAUAGCACCAUCCUGGGGAUAUUCAACAUCCAAAUGAUAGCAAUUGCCUAAACCUUGGAACCUGUUGGUACAUUUAUCUCAUUUGGCAAAGAGACUUUGCAGAUGUAAUUAGCCUAAAAAUUUUGGAAUAGAAAGUUUAGACUGGGCUGUCUGGGUAGCUUCAAUAUAAUUGCAAAGGUCCUUGGAAUUAAAAGAGGAAAGUAGGAAAGUCUGAGUCCGAGAACCAAAUGUGGCACCAAGAGCAGAUGAUGGAAUGAUGUGUUUCUGGCUUUGAAGACAGAGGAAGGUGUCCCCAACCAAAAAAGCCUCUGGAAACUGAAAAAAACAAGAAAACAUAUUUUCCUGAGCCUCCAGCAAGAAUGUAGGCCUGCUGACACUGCGAUUUUAGCCUUGGGAGACCUGAUUAGGAGUUCUGACCUCCGGAACUGUAAGAUAAUAGGUUUGUAUUGUUUAAGCCUCUGAGUUUGUGGUCAGUUCACAUGAAACUGAUCAGCCUGCCUUCAACCAGAUGGUUAUUUCUAAGGAAGAGAUCUGUUUUCACACCCCUGAAGAAUAUGAAAUGUUAACUUGGAAAGACAAAAUAAAGCAUUAUUA